rnacentral:rRNA from 1 species
AAACCAACUGGGAUUACCUUAGUAACGGCGAGUGAAGCGGUAAAAGCUCAAAUUUGAAAUCUGGUACUUUCAGUGCCGAGUUGUAAUUUGUAGAAUUUGUCUUUGAUUAGGUCCUUGUCUAUGUUCCUUGGAACAGGACGUCAUAGAGGGUGAGAAUCCCGUUUGGCGAGGAUACCUUUUCUUUGUAAGACUUUUUCGAAGAGUCGAGUUGUUUGGGAAUGCAGCUCAAAGUGGGUGGUAAAUUCCAUCUAAAGCUAAAUGUUGGCGAGAGACCGAUAGCGAACAAGUACAGUGAUGGAAAGAUGAAAAGAACUUUGAAAAGAGAGUGAAAAAGUACGUGAAAUUGUUGAAAGGGAAGGGCAUUUGAUCAGACAUGGUGUUUUUUGCAUGCACUCGCCUCUCGUGGGCUUGGGCCUCUCAAAAAUUUCACUGGGCCAACAUCAAUUUUGGCAGCAGGAUAAAUCAUUAAGAAUGUAGCUACUUCGGUAGUGUUAUAGCUUUUUGGAAUACUGUUAGCCGGGAUUG